rfam:Dipodomys ordii contig_5904, whole genome shotgun sequence.
GGUGGCUCAGUGGUACAGCGCUUGCUUUGUAUGCACGAGGCCCUGGGUUCGAUUCCUCAGCACCA